UAAUGCCGGAUGUUCCACAUGAUCGCAUGUGAUUGUGGGAAAGAUUCUAUCGGCGUGGGAUGGGGUCGCGUCCUAUCAGCUUGUUGGUGAGGUAACGGCUCACCAAGGCUUCGACGGGUAGCCGGCCUGAGAGGGCGACCGGCCACAUUGGGACUGAGAUACGGCCCAGACUCCUACGGGAGGCAGCAGUGGGGAAUAUUGCACAAUGGGCGCAAGCCUGAUGCAGCGACGCCGCGUGAGGGAUGGAGGCCUUCGGGUUGUAAACCUCUUUUGUUUGGGAGCAAGCCUUCGGGUGAGUGUACCUUUCGAAUAAGCGCCGGCUAACUACGUGCCAGCAGCCGCGGUAAUACGUAGGGCGCAAGCGUUAUCCGGAUUUAUUGGGCGUAAAGGGCUCGUAGGCGGCUCGUCGCGUCCGGUGUGAAAGUCCAUCGCUUAACGGUGGAUCUGCGCCGGGUACGGGCGGGCUGGAGUGCGGUAGGGGAGACUGGAAUUCCCGGUGUAACGGUGGAAUGUGUAGAUA
rnacentral:rRNA from 1 species